UGCCAGCCGCCGCGGUAAUACAGAGGGUGCAAACGUUGUUCGGAAUUACUGGGCGUAAAGCGCGUGUAGGCUGUCGUGCAAGUCGGGCGUGAAAGCCCUGGGCUCAACCCAGGAAGUGCACCCGAAACUGCACGACUAGAGUCUCGGAGAGGGAGGCGGAAUUCUCGGUGUAGAGGUGAAAUUCGUAGAUAUCGAGAGGAACACCAGUGGCGAAGGCGGCCUCCUGGACGAUGACUGACGCUGAGACGCGAAAGCGUGGGGAGCAAACAGGAUUAGAUA
rnacentral:rRNA from 1 species